UAUGUUCUUGAAAUUAAAAGGAUUUGGCGGUGUUUUAGUUCUGAUUAGUGGAACCUGUCCUGUAAUCGAUAAUCCACGUUAAAUUUUACUUGUUUUACAAGUUUGUAUACCGUCGUAGUUUGAGUAUUUUUAAAGAAUAUAAAUGCUCAGGAGUUAUUAUUGAAAAAGUAAAUCAGAUCAAGGUACAGCGUAUAAACAAGGAGAGAUGGGUUACAUUGGAGUUAUCCAAAUAGUUUAGUCUUUGAAAAAUUAUCUAAUAAUAUGAAUUUGAUAGUAAUGAGAUUUAUUUAAAUUUCAUGAUUUAGUUCUGAAACGUGCACAUAUCGCCCGUCACUCCCACCUUCAAAGUGGGAUAAGUCGUAACAUAGUAGGCGUACUGGAAAGUGUGCCUGGGUUGACAGAUCAGAGCUUGUUAGAAAGCAUUUUAUUUACAUUAAAAAGUUAAUUGUGAGAAUCAAUUUGAUCUGAAUUUAAUUAAUUAUUAUUUUCUUAUAAAAAAAAUAAUUUUAUGUUUUAUUAUUUUCUUAGGAAAAAUUUACUUAAUUAUAGUUGAUUAGUAUAGUGAUAGAAUUUAUAAAAAUGUUACAAAGAAGAAUUAAGUUUUUGUACCUUGGGUAUCAGGGUUUAUUAAAUAGAACUUAGUUAGCUUAGUUUUCUCGAUUUUAAAAGAGCUAUAGAGUUAUAUAUUUUAUUGUUGAAUAAAUAUUUAAAAUAAUUUUUUUGCAAUGAAACGUUAGCCGUUUUUAAAUAUAUCUAGUUUCCCAAGAAAUAAAUUUAAUUUAAUUAUUGUUUUUAAUUGAUUUAAUUUUUUAAGUUAAUUUAAACGAUAUUAAAUACUUUGAGGGAUAAGCUUCGAGGUAAAUUCUUAUAAUUUAUUACAUUAAAUUUAAAAUACAUGGGAUUAAAAAUAUCCAUUAUUGAUAGUUUGUUAUAAUUAACUUUUUGUUGAAUAUGAUUUGUAUAUAGUUUAGAAUUUUUAUUGGGGUAAUUUACUUAACUUAUAAUUAUAAGUAAUAAUGAUAGAAUUAGUAUAUAAAAUUGUUUGAAUAAUUUAAAAUUGUUAGGUUGAAAUAAGGAACUCGGCAAACAGCCCUUCCGCCUGUUUAUUAAAAACAUGGCUUUUCGAUUUUAAUUUAAAGUCUGACCUGCCCACUGAAAUUAUUUAAAUGGCCGCAGUAUUUUGACUGUGCAAAAGUAGCAUAAUAAUUAGCUUUUUAAUUGAAAGCUGGAAUGAAUGGUUGGACGAGAAGGGGACUGUCUCUUUUUAAUUUUUUUAGAAAUUUAUUUUUAAGUAAAAAAGCUUAAAUAUAUUUUAAAGACGAGAAGACCCUAUAGAGUUUAAUAUUUAGUUUUACAGGUUGAUUUUAAGAAUUGUAUAUCAAACUGUAAAAUCAAAUAUUUGAUUGAGGGUGAUCGGAAAAUUUAAUAAACUUUUCCUUUAUUUUUAACAUUAA
rnacentral:rRNA from 1 species